rnacentral:rRNA from 1 species
UCCUGGCCCUAAACGAUGUCCACUAGGUCGAAGGUUCUCUGGCGGAGUUUCGGCCGAAACAAAAGCGUUAAGUGGACCGCCUGGGGAGUACGGUCGCAAGGCUAAAACUCAAAGGAAUUGACGGGGGCUCACACAAGCGGUGGAGCAUGUUGCUUAAUUCGAUGCAACGCGAAGAACCUUAUCCUGGGCUUGACAUGCAGGAAUACCCUCCUGGAAACGGGUUGGUUGCCCCGUUGGGGUAAAUCUGCAC